rnacentral:rRNA from 1 species
AUUGAACGCUGGCGGCAGGCCUAACACAUGCAAGUCGAACGAGUGGCGGACGGGUGAGUAAUGUCUGGGACACUGCCUGAUUGAGGGGGAUAACUCCUGGAAACGGUAGCUAAUACCGCAUACCAUCAGAUGUGCCCAGAUGGGAUUAGCUUGUUGGUGGGGUAACGGCUCACCAAGGCGACGAUCCCUAGCUGGUCGGAGAGGGUGACCAGCAAAACUGGAACUGAGGAACGGUCCAGACUCCUACGGGAGGCAGCAGUGGGGAAUAGUGCACAAUGGGGGCAAGCCUGAUGCAGCCAUGCCGCGUGUAUGAGGAAGGCCUUCGGGUUGUAAAGUACUUUCAGCGGGGAGGCGUUACCCGCAGAAAAAGCAACGGCUAACUCCGUGCCAGCAGCCGCGGUAAUAC